rnacentral:lncRNA from 10 species
CGGAGGGGAGCCAAGAUGGCCGAAUAGGAACAGCUCCGGUCUACAGCUCCCAGCGUGAGCGACCCAGAAGACGGGUGAUUUCUGCAUUUCCAUCUGAGGUACCGGGUUCAUCUCACUAGGGAGUGUCAGACAGUGGGCGCAGGUUUGGAGUUGUUGCUACCUGUGUCUACCCAGCCAAGGACUUUAUGCCUCAGGCCUUCAUAUUCAGGGACAUGUUUCUCAUGAAAAUUUUGGAAAUGUGAAAUUACAGAAAAGCCCAAAGGAAAACAAUGAAAAUCUCUUGCAACUACAGUACUUAGAAAAAUGCCUAUUAUCAUUUUGUUUUAUAUCCCUGCUGUCUUUAUAUGUACAACUUGCAUUUUGCAAGAGUUUAGAAAGUUGUAACCUUAUUUUUUAAAUCAGUGCAUAACUAAUAUUUUUUAUGCUAUUAAAAUAUUAUUUUAAGAUGUAAUAUCUAAUCACAUGUCUGCAUCAUAAUCUACUUAAUCUCCCCUUGUUCACAAUUAAGUAGUUUCCAAUUUUUCACUAUCAAAGUAAUGCUACAACAAGAAGGAUAUCCUGGUAUAUAAAUAAUUUUACACAACACAGUUAUUUCCUUGA